rnacentral:rRNA from 1 species
UACAGAGGGUGCAAGCGUUGUUCGGAAUUAUUGGGCGUAAAGCGCGUGUAGGCGGCAUUGCAAGUCGGGUGUGAAAGCCCUCGGCUCACCGAGGAAGUGCGCCCGAAACUGCAGUGCUUGAGUACCGGAGAGGGUGACGGAAGUUCCCCAAGUAGAGGUGAAAUUCGUAGAUAUGGGGAGGAACACCGGUGGCGAAGGCGGUCACCUGGACGGA